CUGGGUGCCUGUGUUCCUUUGCAGAGUCUGUGGUCAUUGGGGGUCCUCUUGGAGUCUGCUGUGCCAGCGACCUGCAGAGCCGGAGCAGCACACA